GCUGCUUCAGACUCUCUCUCUCUCUCUCUCUCGAAGGAGCUGCUGCGACGCAAACUACUCGACCACGAGCUGAAGACGUGGCACCUGCAGAUCUGGUCGCUGUAAGGUGAAGCUGUGGGCUUUGUAUCCUCCGACUCCGGUGGGGAAUAUGCACGUCACAAGGCUGCAAGUGACUUUAGCUCCGUUGGCCAAAUUACGUUAGAGACGGAAACUCAUCUGAUCAAGGUCGGAGGCAGGAAACAACAAGAAAUGAAAGAGGAAGAACGUGUGGUCGGCCUAUUCAUGUCGAUCGGAGGGCGAACUCAUCCCCGACUAUUCUACCAGGCAACAAGAGAGAAUAGGACUCGUCGAGGUCCGUGUGCCUGCUGCAGCUGCAGGUUCCAUCGAGGGUGUUUGGCGCGACUGAAAGUCUUUUGUGUGCCCCCCUUGGAAGCUGGUUUCAGAUGGUGGCUUAGAGUAUUGUCAUCUAUCUAGCACCAUUUGAAAUCAGUGUUCUUGGGGUGGGAAGUGUUUCACUGAGCAGGAACAGGAAGCCGUGAAGUGUCACAGCAUGUUUCUGGUGCUGAGGGUAAAAGAGAAAAUUUCACCUGUCAAGCGUCGCUCCGUGAAAGCGCCAUCCAGUGGUCAACAAACGAAAGCUCACGCUCUUUGUCCUAUCUCCAAGGUUGACCGAUUUCUUUUGGUGUUCAGAGUCUACUAUUGUUUCUAGCACCAUUUGAAAUCGGUUACAGUGAAGGACAGAUCUCAUCCCUGAUGUGGAGUUUACUGCUCUGAAACUUGGACAGUUAAACAGUUUAAUUUGAGGCAAAGUGGUAUUUAGUUUUCAAACAGUGCAGGGUCUCUCAUUGAUAUCUAGAUUGAUUUAUAAUACAGGCCAUAUUCUAUAUUUUAGUGUUGACAGUAAAAUGCAUUGUUUUAUGUCUCUCACCUAGAAGAAAUGUCCUGUUUGCAGUUUAACAGUAAUGCAACAGGUGAUAAGUAAAACAUUUGCACUUGAUGAAAUGUUGGUAUAAAAGCAAUUUGAGUAAUUGGAUGUUCGGCACUGUAAAAUAAACUAUUG